rnacentral:rRNA from 1 species
CGCCGACUCAGCUUGCUGGAGCGGAAGUGGCGAACGGGUGCGUAACGCGUAGGCAACCUGCCCCUUAGUACGGAAUAACUUCGGAAAACCGACGCUAAUACCGUAUGACGUCUCAUGGUCGCAUGACCGAGAGAUGAAAGCCUUCGGGUGCUAAGGGAUGGGCCUGCGUCGGAUUAGGUAGUUGGUGAGGUAACGGCUCACCAAGCCAACGAUCCGUAGCUGGUCUGAGAGGAUGAUCAGCCACACUGGCACUGAGACACGGGCCAGACUCCUACGGGAGGCAGCAGUGAGGAAUAUUGCGCAAUGGGGGAAACCCUGACGCAGCCACGCCGCGUGGAGGAUGACACCGUUAUGCGGCGUAAACUCCUUUUAUAUGAGAAGAAACCCCGGCUCGGUCGGGACUGACGGUAUCAUAUGAAUAAGCACCGGCUAACUCCGUGCCAGCAGCCGCGGUAAUACGGAGGGUGCAAGCGUUGUCCGGAAUCACUGGGUGUAAAGGGUGUGUAGGCGGGAUUGUAAGUCAGAGGUGAAAUCCUACAGCUCAACUGUAGAACUGCCUUUGAUAUUGCAAUUCUUGAGUUUCGGAGAGGUCAUUAGAAUUCGUGGUGUAGCGGUGAAAUGCGUAGAUAUCACGAGGAAUACCAGAGGCG